rnacentral:rRNA from 1 species
CGGAAUUACUGGGCGUAAAGCGCACGUAGGCCGAUUGUUAAGUCAGGGGUGAAAUCCUGGAGCUCAACUCCAGAACUGCCCUUGAUACUGACGGUCUCGAGUCCGGGAGAGGUGAGUGGAACUGCGAGUGUAGAGGUGAAAUUCGUAGAUAUUCGCAAGAACACCAGUGGCGAAGGCGGCUCACUGGCCCGGUACUGACGCUGAGGUGCGAAAGCGUGGGGAGCAAACAGG